rnacentral:rRNA from 1 species
CCUACGGGGGGCUGCAGUGGGGAAUAUUGGACAAUGGGCGAAAGCCUGAUCCAGCCAUGCCGCGUGUGUGAAGAAGGCCUUCGGGUUGUAAAGCACUUUCAGUGGGGAAGAAAGCCUUGGGGCUAAUACCCUCGAGGAAGGACAUCACCCACAGAAGAAGCACCGGCUAACUCCGUGCCAGCAGCCGCGGUAAUACGGAGGGUGCGAGCGUUAAUCGGAAUUACUGGGCGUAAAGCGCGCGUAGGCGGUCUGAUAAGCCGGUUGUGAAAGCCCCGGGCUCAACCUGGGAACGGCAUCCGGAACUGUCAGGCUAGAGUGCAGGAGAGGAAGGUAGAAUUCCCGGUGUAGCAGUGAAAUGCGUAGAGAUCGGGAGGAAUACCAGUGGCGAAGGCGGCCUUCUGGACUGACACUGACGCUGAGGUGCGAAAGCGUGGGUAGCAAACAGGAUUAGAUACCCCUGUAGUC